rnacentral:rRNA from 1 species
AGAGUUUGAUCAUGGCUCAGAAUCAACGCUGGCGGCGUGCCUAACACAUGCAAGUCGAACGCGAAAGGGGCUUCGGCCCUGAGUAGAGUGGCGAACGGGUGAGUAACACGUGGGUGACCUACCUUCGAGUGGGGGAUAACGUCCCGAAAGGGACGCUAAUACCGCAUAACAUCCUGCCUUUGAACAGGUGGAGAUCAAAGCCGGGGAUCGCAAGACCCGGCACUUGAAGAGGGGCCCGCGGCCCAUCAGCUAGUUGGUAGGGUAAUGGCCUACCAAGGCGACGACGGGUAGCUGGUCUGAGAGGACGACCAGCCACACGGGAAUUGAGAUACGGUCCCGACUCCUACGGGAGGCAGCAGUGGGGAAUCUUGGGCAAUGGGGGAAACCCUGACCCAGCGACGCCGCGUGGGGGAUGAAGGCUCUCGGGUCGUAAACCCCUGUUAGGUGGGACGAACAUCUUCUGGUAAAUAACUGGAGGAUCUGACGGUACCACCAGAGAAAGCCCCGGCUAACUCCGUGCCAGCAGCCGCGGUAAUACGGAGGGGGCAAGUGUUGUUCGGAAUUACUGGGCGUAAAGGGCGCGUAGGCGGCUUGGCAAGUCGAGUGUGAAAUCCCUUGGCUUAACUGAGGAAUGGCGCUCGAAACUACCUCGCUAGAGGGCGGGAGAGGGAAGUGGAACUCUCGGUGUAGGGGUGAAAUCUGUAGAUAUCGAGAGGAACACCGGUGGCGAAGGCGGCUUCCUGGCCCGUACCUGACGCUGAGGCGCGAAAGCGUGGGGAGCAAACAGGAUUAGAUACCCCCGUAGUCC